CGAAAGCGUCGGGGAGCAAACAGGAUUAGAUACCCUGGUAGUCCACGCCGUAAACGAUGAGUGCUAAGUGUUAGAGGGUUUUCCGCCCUUUUAGUGCUGCAGCUAACGCAUUAAGCACUCCGCCUGGGGAGUACGGUCGCAAGACUGAAACUCAAAGGAAUUGACGGGGGCCCGCACAAGCGGUGGAGCAUGUGGUUUAAUUCGAAGCAACGCGAAGAACCUUACCAGGUCUUGACAUCCUCUGACAACUCUAGAGAUAGAGCGUUCCCCUUCGGGGGACAGAGUGACAGGUGGUGCAUGGUUGUCGUCAGCUCGUGUCGUGAGAUGUUGGGUUAAGUCCCGCAACGAGCGCAACCCUUGAUCUUAGUUGCCAGCAUUUAGUUGGGCACUCUAAGGUGACUGCCGGUGACAAACCGGAGGAAGGUUGGGAUGACGUCAAAUCAUCAUGCCCCUUAUGACCUGGGCUACACACGUGC
rnacentral:rRNA from 2 species